rnacentral:rRNA from 1 species
GACGAACGCUGGCGGCGUGCUUAACACAUGCAAGUCGAACGGAAAGGCCCUGCUUUUGUGGGGGGCUCGAGUGGCGAACGGGUGAGUAACACGUGAGUAACCUGCCCUUGACUUUGGGAUAACUUGAGGAAACUGGGGCUAAUACCGGAUAGUAGCUCCUGCUGCAUGGUGGGGGUUGGAAAGUUUCGGCGGUUGGGGAUGGACUCGCGGCUUAUCAGCUUGUUGGUGGGGUAGUGGCUUACCAAGGCUUUGACGGGUAGCCGGCCUGAGAGGGUGACCGGCCACAUUGGGACUGAGAUACGGCCCAGACUCCUACGGGAGGCAGCAGUGGGGAAUAUUGCACAAUGGGCGGAAGCCUGAUGCAGCAACGCCGCGUGCGGGAUGACGGCCUUCGGGUUGUAAACCGCUUUCGCCUGUGACGAAGCGUGAGUGACGGUAAUGGGUAAAGAAGCACCGGCUAACUACGUG